UCUGAUAUAGCUCAGCGGCAGAGCACCCGGCUCUCUUCCGGGAGGACACAGGUUCGAGCCCUGUUAUCAGAA
rnacentral:tRNA from 1 species